UACGUAGGGUGCAAGCGUUGUCCGGAAUUAUUGGGCGUAAAGAGCUCGUAGGCGGUCUGUUGCGUCGGCUGUGAAAACCCGGGGCUCAACUCCGGGCCUGCAGCCGAUACGGGCAGACUAGAGUUCGGCAGGGGAGACUGGAAUUCCUGGUGUAGCGGUGGAAUGCGCAGAUAUCAGGAGGAACACCGAUGGCGAAGGCAGAUCUCUGGGCCGUAACUGACGCUGAGGAGCGAAAGCAUGGGGAGCGAACAGG
rnacentral:rRNA from 1 species